UUUAGUACUAUAAGCCUACUGUGGUUGCGCGAUGGUUAGAAUACGAUCGCCGCUGUAUUUCAAUCAAUUUAAGCAAAAUUGAAUUUAUUUCAGUCGCAGCCAAAAAAGAAACGCACAUACUUCUUCGAUAACUUUAUUAAGUCUGAUUCAUAGAGUAAAGACAUUUUGACUCUGGCACUUUCCUGUAGUUGCCAUAAAAUAAAAAAAAAAUAAUACAAUUUAUUGUCUAUUAAAUCACAUCCUCCACAGCCAAAAAAAGGAUGAUUAUCUAACAACUUUAAUCACAUCUUGACAUGUAAAUAACAUCAAAUAAAACAAAGAAUCAUGAAACAAAUUAAAAUACAAUUUGCGAAGUAUUGUAGCUUAGAAAAAAAACAAACAAAUUACUCGUGUUACUUGCACUUGAAACAUACUCAAACAUUAAACAGAUAUCAAGUGCAAGAUGCAUAAAAAAUUAAUCUAAAAAUAUUCAAGAAUA